UACAGAGGGGGCAAGCGUUGUUCGGAAUUACUGGGCGUAAAGGGCGCGUAGGCGGCCCGCUAAGUCGAACGUGAAAUCCCCGGGCUCAACCCGGGAACUGCGUCCGAUACUGGUGGGCUCGAAUCCGGGAGAGGGAUGCGGAAUUCCAGGUGUAGCGGUGAAAUGCGUAGAUAUCUGGAGGAACACCGGUGGCGAAGGCGGCAUCCUGGACCGGUAUUGACGCUGAGGCGCGAAAAGCCAGGGGGAGCAAACGGGG
rnacentral:rRNA from 1 species